GCUUGUCUCAAAGAUUAAGCCAUGCAUGUCUAAGUAUAAAUGAUAUACAGUAAAACUGCGAAUGGCUCAUUAAAACAGUUAUAGUUUAUUUGGUAAUCGAAUUUACAUGGAUAACCGUGGUAAUUCUAGAGCUAAUACAUGCUGUAAAGCCCGACUUCUCGGAAGGGCCGUAUUUAUUAGAUAACAGACCAAUAUUCCUCGUGUCUAUUGUGGUGAUUCAUAAUAACCGAACGAAUCGCAUGGCUUUGCUGGCGAUAUAUCUUCUAAGUUUCUGACCUAUCAGCUUUCGACGGUAAGGUAUUGGCUUACCGUGGCAAUGACGGGUAACGGAGAAUUAGGGUUCGAUUCCGGAGAGGGAGCCUGAGAAACGGCUACCACAUCUAAGGAAGGCAGCAGG
rnacentral:rRNA from 1 species